UUUGCCGUGAGAACAAAGAAGGGAAGAGGAAGAAGAAGAGGAGAAGAGAGGGGAUCAAGGCAUGCCGCCGUCCGUCGUCGUUGUUCCCCUCCAAAAACCGGUAGGAUUUCCUCUCCUCUUUCCAUUUUUUCCCCAUCUCCAUGGCUUCUCCUCGCUGUUCGUGGUGGUCCCCCCAUGUGUGCUGCAGUUUGGGGGCAAUCGAAGGGUUACCGUGACCCUCGCCGCCAAGAAAACGGUGGGGAAUCGUUGUUUGGAUGGUCGCCGUCGCCGUCGCCUUUGAUCUUUUCAAGGGGAAACCCUAGGUGGUGCACCUUUGGAUCAUGCUUAGCUCACGUUCUUGAUCUUCGGUGAAGGCAAGUAAACGUGGCACUGUGGUCCACACGUUUUGGCUUUGUUAUUUGAAUUGGCUCCACUAAAUUUUAAGAUUCUCACACUAGUCAUAUAAUCUGAAAUUGGAAGUUAUUUGCUUUACUUUGCUCUACUUUGAAGUAUAUGAUGUUAUAUCUUGUGGAUUAUUGUUGAACUAUGAAGUACAUGAAGUGCAUACAUUGCAAUAUGUGCAUUUGCACUCUUCCCAUUGAUAUGCAUUUGAAGAAACCGUAGCCGAAUUGGUGCGGUGAGUACCGGUACAAUAACACACGUUGAUGAGCAAUGUAGUUGCAACUCUCACUCCCUCUCUUUGGGAUGUGUGGGUAGAAGUGAAGUCAUGCAUGCAUUGCAUCAUUUGCAUAUGCAUUGCACCAUUUGCAUGUGCAUUGAAGUAUUGAUAUGAAGUUUUCAUAUAUUUUUCUCUACCUGAAGUUAUUCAUUGUCGUAGUAUGAUGCUUCUUUUUAUCUAAUUAUUAAUAUGAUGUUUAAUCAAAUUGCGAUUUAAAUAGCUUGGUUAAAGCAGUUGGCUUGUUGAGGUUUUUCCAUAAACCUCACACAUUGAUUUUCCCCCUCACAGGUGCUUGAGCUUGGACAUUGCAUGCUUGGGAUGGGAGUAGCAGCAUGUGUGCACACACUUAACAAUAUAUAUUGAAUAAAUGUUGUAUAAUAAAAUGUUUGGAUGUGGAGACUUCGUUGUUGUUGUUUUAAAUUCUCUCGUGUGGUUCAGUUUGUGAAAUGUUUAAGUCUUUGUUAAUCUAUCUGAACAAUUUAUGUUGCUUCCGCGUA